GGUCAAGAUGAAAGCUGUGGCAAUCUUCUUGUGUUUUGUGGCCUACACAUUCGCUGCCCCAGCGCCCGACAGCGGCAGCCAGGAGCAGCAGAUAGCUGCCCAUGCUAACACAGCCCUGCAUCUGAUGGAACUCUACAGGAUGUAUGGCCACCUGCAGCAACAGGGUGUCGCAGCUCCUGCUCCAGCUCCAGUUCAGGCACAGGCUCAGUCUGUUCAACCUCAGCAACCCUUCCUGUUUAACUACCCAACCCUGCCCAGAGGAGGAGAUAACUCUGAUGAGGAAGCACAGGUAAGUAAAACUGUGGUUUCCAGUUCUGCUUGUUCCUGGAGACCUGAAGAAUGUUCCUGCAUGGCAAAGGUGGCAAAUUGAGUUCAGGCAGUUGAAAUGAAUCCAGGAUUUUUGCUUUCUGGUCCUGAAUUAUCCACCACUGCUUCUAAACAAAAAGACAAAGGUAGAGAUCCCUAGAAUUGGGAAUGACCACCUCUGAAUUAGAAGAUCUCUUAGAAGAUCCAGUUGAUUCAAAUUGUAAUAAUAGCACUAAUUUCUUUUUCCUUCUAAUCUUUCCCAGCCUAAUUACGCUGCAUUUUACCCUCCCCACGGCUUCCCAGCUGUACCAGCAGCACCGGCGGCACCAGCAGCCCCACUGAACUCCGAUGAAGCCGAGGGAGCAGAAGAGGCCGAGGCCGUAGAAGCAGAACCAGCAGCUGAAGCCGAACCGGCAGCCGAAGCCGAACCUGCAGCUGAAGCGGUCCCAGCAGCCGAAGCGGUCCCAGCAGUCGACCCUGCAGUCGACUUAGCAGUCGACCCAUUAGUCCCUGUUGCCGCUCCCAUCGACCCCGCUGUCAUUGACCCCCAUGUGGCUGUUGAAGUAGGCAUUGAGGUUCCUGCCUCCGCAAACAUCCCUGCCGCCGAUGUCCUCGCAGCUGCCACUGCCAUAGCUGCCGACCCGGCCCUUGUCCCCCAGGGGGCGCCGGUGGCUAUUGAGAUCGACACCACAGUGGUGGGGCCAGAGGUUGGCGCUCCAAUCGUUGCGGACUCUCCUGUCCAACCGUUUUAAUCACCACCGCCCCAUCCCACCCCGCCCACCCCAACAACUAUCUAUAAGAUUAAUCAGCCACAUCACUACUGUAGAGGAUUCACAGUUAGCAGCAUAGCUCGGGAGGUGGGCGGGGUUACAGUUUACAUCCAGUCUAUGUGCGCGAAAGGUUGAUUUGUGUGAACCUCAGUGUGAAAAUUGAAGCUCUGGGAGUGUGAGGAAACCUCAUGUAUGAUUCAGUCUUUUCUCUGUAUUUUUGUCUACGCUUGUUUUUCUUCAAAUUAAACAUGUCUGUCUUCAUCCUGCAAUUCAGUGG
rnacentral:lncRNA from 1 species